rnacentral:rRNA from 1 species
CGCAGCCGCGGUAAUUCCAGCUCCAAUAGCGUAUAUUAAAGUUGUUGCAGUUAAAAAGCUCGUAGUUGAAUUUCGGGAUCAAUUAAUUGGUCGUGCCUCUGGUACGUACUGAUUUUAUUGGUUUCUCCCUUCUGACGAACCAUGAUGUCAUUAAUUUGAUGUCGUGGAGAAUCAGGACUGUUACUUUGAAAAAAUUAGAGUGUUUAAAGCAAGCUAACGCUUGAAUACAUUAGCAUGGAAUAAUGAAAUAGGACGUUUGAUCCUAUUUUGUUGGUUUCUAGGAUCGACGUAAUGAUUAAUAGGGAUAGUUGGGGGCAUUAGUAUUCAAUUGUCAGAGGUGAAAUUCUUGGAUUUAUUGAAGACUAACUACUGCGAAAGCAUUUGCCAAGGAUGUUUUCAUUAAUCAAGAACGAAAGUUAGGGGAUCGAAGACGAUCAGAUACCGUCGUAG